CCUACGGGGGGCUGCAGUGGGGAAUAUUGGACAAUGAGCGCAAGCCUGAUCCAGCCAUGCCGCGUGGGUGAAGAAGGCCUUCGGGUUGUAAAGCCCUUUUGUCCGGAAAGAAAGGCUCGAGGUUAAUACCUUCGGGUCCUGACGGUACCGGAAGAAUAAGCACCGGCUAACUUCGUGCCAGCAGCCGCGGUAAUACGAAGGGUGCAAGCGUUACUCGGAAUUACUGGGCGUGAAGCGUUCAUAGUGGUGUGAAAGCCCUGGGAUCAACCUGAGAAUUGCAUUGGAUACUGGCGGGCUAGAGUGCGGUAGAGGAUGGCGGAAUUCCCGGUGUAGCAGUGAAAUGCGUAGAGAUCGGGAGGAACAUCUGUGGCGAAGGCGGCCAUCUGGACCAGCACUGACACUGAGGCACGAAAGCGUGGGGAGCAAACAGGAUUAGAUACCCCGGUAGUC
rnacentral:rRNA from 1 species